UGUCUGCCACAUCAGUGAACUAUCUGACAUUUCCACAUUGUCAUGACAUCGUAACUUUUUAUAAAUAGACAGAUCUGCUGGGCUUUUUAUGGAGUCCUCCUAACUUUUCUUCAGUUCUGCUUCUGUGAACUAGCCGGAGAGAUUUUAGAGGCAACUUCAAUCAUGAGGUUUCUUUUCCUAAUCUUUGCAUUGCUUCUUCUCUUCUAUGUUUCUUCAGGACAACCUGAUGCCUGUAAAAAGGAUGGUGGCUUCUGCCAGGUUGGCCUCCAUAAAAAAUGUGUGCAUGGAAGUCUUCCAUACAACUGUGGCAUUAAUGCCAAGUGCUGCAAGCUUCCACUGUGAAACUACCACUAACAAGCACUUGUGAAAACCUGGGAGGUUAUUGCCAUGUUCCUAACAAGAACCUUGCUUCUUUGGUGUGCAAUAUUUAGCCAAUUGUGGCCCUAAUGGAAGAUGUUGCAAACUGUUAGGUAACAGCAAGAGUUGAAAUAACACUGUAAUUAAUUAAUAAAUUUGGAUUGAACACUUGAA